AUGGCGCCGGGCUGCUGGCACGGCCGCGGCCCCGCGUGCAGUGAGAUGGUUGUCCUUCUAUCCUAGUUGUCUAACGAUCAUCAUGAACAAACUACCUGUGUCGGUAGCUUGUAUGAUCAUCAAAGCGCCAAGCUAUCCUUUUUGGCUUUUGCCUUUGUCAUGGUUUUAGCUCGCAUAGGUCUAAAUGGUAAAUCUUGAUGGCAAUGUUGAAAAUGGCUGCUGCUGCUGCAGACAUUGCAAUGUUUGCAUGCGUUCUCGGUUCUCGUUUCAUCUGUGCGUGCAAGUUGAGCUAGGCGUAAUAAAACGUCCUCCACAGCAGUUCUUCUGUC
rnacentral:lncRNA from 7 species